rnacentral:lncRNA from 1 species
AAAAACACACCUCAAAUUUUAAUUUAAGCAAGGAGAUGAACAUGAUUAUGCUGACAUGUUGAAUUUACAUUUAUCUUUAUUUUCAGGUUCAGCACUGAUCAAUAUAUUGAAUGAAUUGACUCUUACUAAGUAUGGCCUUUAACGGAAUAUCUACUGCAUCCCCCUUGGCCAGAUCUUAAUGUUAAAAGUUUAGACGCUUCUCCUGGUUUAGAGAGCGGGUCGCGAAAAUUCAGCUGCGGCGCCAUCUGCUGGAAGCGCCGCGACGCUGCAAGGAGCUUGCCGGGGAAGGAGGAGACGAGUUGCAGGUGAACGUCCUUUGCCCAGAGAAGGCUCUGACACCAAGGUAACAUUCAAAUGCAGUCCGCUUGUCUAAAAAGAGACCAAGUUGACCCUGCAAGAAAAUGGCCUCAGUUUUGAGGAGCCCUGCGGCCUA